UUUUUAAUUUAUCCAAUCAUAUACUUUAUGCAUAUUAACCGGAUUUUUAAUAAACUUGCCACCUUCUUUCUUCUUUAAAUAAAUUUCAUUUUCUCUUGCUCUCCAAUCCCAUACGUCUCCAUGAUCUUCCAUACCGAAAAGCUUGAAUGCUGUAAAAUUCUGAUAAUGUCUGUAAUUAGGCCCUUGUUUCAAAGUACACAUAAAACGCGUUGUACGCCAAAUGUUAACACUAAAAUAAGUUACAAAAUGCCCUCCGAUUGGUAUUAUUUUUGGACCUAAUACAUCAUCUUUGGAAUAACACCUCAUCCAGAGGAGUUUUUGGAAUUUAAGUUCGUUCCCGAUCCUAAUUCCGGCUCCCGAUACAUGAUCAAACAUGCAAAGACUAAAAACAAAUAUAAAAA
rnacentral:sRNA from 1 species